UGUAAGUGUUUCUCUUAUACCUCGGUGAC
rnacentral:piRNA from 1 species